UACGUAGGGUGCGAGCGUUAAUCGGAAUUACUGGGCGUAAAGCGUGCGCAGGCGGUUUUGUAAGGCAGAUGUGAAAUCCCCGGGCUUAGCCUGGGAAUGGCAUUUGGGACUGCAAGGCUCGAGUGCGGCAGAGGAGACUGGAAUUCCUGGUGUAGCAGUGAAAUGCGUAGAUAUCAGGAGGAACACCGAUGGCGAAGGCAGGUCUCUGGGCUGACACUGACGCUCAUGCACGAAAGCGUGGGGAGCAAACAGG
rnacentral:rRNA from 1 species